CUAUAAAUAUUCACAUUAAAAAAAAAAGAGGCUAACCAUUUGCUAUAUUAGACUAUGCAUGUGUCCCCAGACCUAGGUUUUCCCCUAGGUGUGGUUUUAAAAUCCUGGUGAUAAAC